AAGAGAGAAACAGAGAGCAUUUAUGUUGUGCAAUGAUUCUCAAUCUCAAACUUUUGGUCUUUAAAUUUCAGGCUACAGAAAGGGGAAUAUGAAAGCAGAUCACAUAUCUUUUAUCUAUUUAGUCUGAUAAAACAUUGUAAAGUUGAUUGAACUCCCGAGCUAUUGAGUUACAAAAUAAAAUUAUUUAAGAAUUUAAAGAAGUACCUAAAAUAGUUAAUUUAUACACAAUUGUGAUGUCAGAGCAAUAUUAUAUAUUUGCUUUUUAUUUUAAUAGGUUAAUUUUAAUAGGUAAAUUUUCUUGUAUCUCUUACUGCAGAUGAAAUCUUCCGGGAAGGAAUAAGCAAAUGGAAGAUAUUGAAUUUAUUUUCUUGAAAUCAGGGGAAAGAUGAAAUUCAUUUUGCUUAUUUGAGCUAGAACAGAAUUCUAGAAAACAUUUCAAUGUACACAUUUUACUUUUGCCUUCAGGUGACAGACAUACAAAGUGGAAAUGAUGCAUGGUGUUACUAGCCCAUUGGUUUUCACUUUACUAAAAGAAAAAUGAAGACAUUGACAUUGGAUCCAAAUAAAGAGGAGGGAUAAAUCAAAGCAAUAUGUGGAUAUGAAUGAAAAUUAACUGGAUUUUUAAUGGGCUCCUGAUUAAUAUCCUUGCUAUUUUUUUCUUUCUAGGCAAAGAUCAAGUAUGAUACAAAACAAAAGAUGCUUCAUUCAGGGAUUGGAAUCUAAAUUCAAAAUCAUUAGACCCCGGAUUAAACAAUCUUACUAUACUAUUAGUAUCACUUAUAAUAUUUUUACUACCAUUAAAAUAUAUGUGUAUAUUCCUUUAAGCAAAUUUGGAAGCUUGGGUUAACCUAAAUUCUAAACUGGCAGGUAGAUCCCAUGGAAUUCUUUCACAUUAUAAAUUUUCAAAAUCUGCUUAAAGUAUUACUAUACCAUGUAUGUGUGUAUUCUACUAUGUGACUAGAUACCUUGGACUUAUUUAUUGAAGAAAUAAUUUUAGAGGACUAUGGAAUUAUGAAAGGGAUGCAAAAGAAUCAAUAUCAAGUAAAUACACAGAACAACGCAGAAAAUUCAUAAAGGAACAAGAAAAAAAAGAAUUGCCACAACUUUGAAAUGAAUCAGGAAAAAAAAAAAUCAGUGGCAUGGUUAAAAUACAAAACGGUCUGAGAGGUGCUAGGGCAAUGAAAGCAAAACCAUCAACUUUGAAGAAUGUUGACUUACUAAAGGCUACCAACAGUGAAUAAUACUCUAUUAAGCCAUUUGAUACAUUCUCUAAUUUGACAAUACCAGCAUGAUACAGUGAAAAGAAGAGCCUCUAGAGUUCAAAUAAUGACACCACAGCUUACUUUCUAUGUGAUCUUAGAUAUAUUAUUUAGUUUCUCUGGCCUUCAACUUUUCAAAAGUAAAAUGAAGUGACAUUAAUUUGCUUCAGUGGUCUCUUCCAAGUCUAAUGAACUAUGAUUUUGCCAACACAUCUGCAAAGCAACAUAAUGUAAAUUAUUUCAUGUGCUAAAAGGCUGACGUGUAGAGUUGUUAUAACCAAACAAAAUCAUCAUCCAGGAGACAGCCUUCUACAGACAAAUAUCUGCAAAAUUACCUGAGGUAAUCAGAAGACAAAAACUGAUUACACUGGCCUCACAUUCAAACCCCUUCUAGCCAGGUAGCUCUUUACACUACACAUUCCCCUCACUAGAUCCUCACAAUCACCCUGAGGGCAGGCGCUGUGUUUAGCCCCAUUUCAGGCCUUAAGAAAGCCCAGACUUUCUUAAGAGAAAGUUAAGUGAGUUAUCCACAGUGACACUGCGUGAC